GAUGAACGCUGGCGGCGUGCCUAAUACAUGCAAGUCGAGCGAACUGAUUAGAAGCUUGCUUCUAUGACGUUAGCGGCGGACGGGUGAGUAACACGUGGGCAACCUGCCUGUAAGACUGGGAUAACUUCGGGAAACCGAAGCUAAUACCGGAUAGGAUCUUCUCCUUCAUGGGAGAUGAUUGAAAGAUGGUUUCGGCUAUCAUUUACAGAUGGGCCCGCGGUGCAUUAGCUAGUUGGUGAGGUAACGGCUCACCAAGGCAACGAUGCAUAGCCGACCUGGGAGGGUGAUCGGCCACACUGGGACUGAGACACGGCCCAGACUCCUACGGGAGGCAGCAGUAGGGAAUCUUCCGCAAUGGACGAAAGUCUGACGGAGCAACGCCGCGUGAGUGAUGAAGGCUUUCGGGUCGUAAAACUCUGUUGUUAGGGAAGAACAAGUACAAGAGUAACUGCUUGUACCUUGACGGUACCUAACCAGAAAGCCACGGCUAACUACGUGCCAGCCGCCGCCGUAAGAC
rnacentral:rRNA from 1 species